UGGUGAAACUCUAGGCUGUGCUGACA
rnacentral:piRNA from 1 species